UACGUAGGGGGCUAGCGUUGUCCGGAAUCAUUGGGCGUAAAGAGCGCGUAGGCGGCUAGAUAAGUCCGGUGUGAAAGUCACAGGCUCAACCUGUGAAUGCCGCUGGAAACUGUCUGGCUAGAGUCCGGAAGGGGCGAGUGGAAUUCCUGGUGUAGCGGUGAAAUGCGCAGAUAUCAGGAGGAACACCGGUGGCGAAGGCGGUCUCUGGGCCGAUACUGACGCUGAGGAGCGAAAGCGUGGGGAGCGAACAGAUGAUAACCGAACGAGU
rnacentral:rRNA from 1 species